GAUGAACGCUGGCGGCGUGCCUAACACAUGCAAGUCGAACGGAGAUUACGGACGGAAGUUUUCGGAUGGAAGACUGUAAUUCUUAGUGGCGGACGGGUGAGUAACGCGUGGGCAACCUGCCCUAUACAGGGGGAUAGCAGCUGGAAACGGCUGGUAAGACCGCAUAAGUCGGCGAGACCGCAUGGUUUUGCCGGGAAAUGAGCAAUCAGGUAUAGGAUGGGCCCGCGUCCGAUUAGCCAGUUGGCAGGGUAAAAGCCUACCAAAGCAACGAUCGGUAGCCGGACUGAGAGGUCGGACGGCCACAUUGGGACUGAGACACGGCCCAAACUCCUACGGGAGGCAGCAGUGGGUGAUAUUGCACAAUGGAGGAAACUCUGAUGCAGCGACGCCGCGUGAGUGAAGAAGUAUUUCGGUAUGUAAAGCUCUAUCAGCAGGGAAGAUGAUGACGGUACCUGACUAAGAAGCCCCGGCUAACUACGUG
rnacentral:rRNA from 1 species